rnacentral:rRNA from 1 species
AACGAACGUUAGCGGCGCGCCUAACACAUGCAAGUCGCACGAGAAAGGGGGCAACCCCCGGUACAGUGGCGCACGGGUGAGUAACACGUGGGUGAUCUGCCCAGAAGAAGGGGAUAACCUCUCGAAAGGGGGGCUAAUACCGCAUAGGACCACCGGGGCUUUGGCUCUGUGGUGAAAGGGGGCCUCUGUUUACAAGCUCCUGCUUCUGGAUGAGCCCGCGUCCCAUCAGCUAGUUGGUAGGGUAAUGGCCUACCAAGGCUACGACGGGUAGCUGGUCUAAGAGGAUGGCCAGCCACACUGGAACUGAGACACGGUCCAGACUCCUACGGGAGGCAGCAGUGGGGAAUCUUGCGCAAUGGGCGAAAGCCUGACGCAGCGACGCCGCGUGGGUGACGAAGGCCUUCGGGUUGUAAAGCCCUGUGGGGUAGAACGAACUGGCAUCGGGCUAAUAUCCCGGUGUCUUGACGGUACUGCCUUAGCAAGCAUCGGCUAACUCUGUGCCAGCCGCCGCCGUAACAC